AAUUAAGCUGUGAGUAAAGAUGAGCUGGCACAUCACUAGCAUCUCAUGCCCCAUCAAGUGAGAGUGUGCUGUCUCUCCUCCUGGCACCAGCAAAGAUUUAAGGAAUUGGCAUCGUCUCUUUGUGCUGCAAAGUGAAGAACUGGCCCAAGUCCUUGGUGAGGCAGACUCACACUUUCAUAAGGAAUUUGAAGGAUGCACCAGCAAAAGACCUGAGAAAAUACAACACCAUUUCAGAGGUGUGAAUCUUUCCGCCUGGUGCUCAGUGGGGUGCUUGCAUUACCACCUCCCCAGCCAACCCAAGCUUCACUGAAGGCUGUAAGUUUGACUGAUGACAGCAGCUGGCAAAAUUCUGCCCACCCAAGAAACAGAGGUGCCUUUGCAAGCAAAGAGUUCAACACGAAUCAGUGACAAAGAGGAUUCUGUAUCACCUCUCAGAGGUGGAUGUUGGCAGCCUGAACAGUUUCUCAUUCCCAUCUUGCACCAUUUCUUUAUUUGAUGUGGACACAGAGAAAAAGGCAGUCAGGUAAGCCUUUGGAGAUGGAGGGCAAAAUCUGGUUUGUGUAAGAGUUUAUGAACCAGGAUUGUGAACAAUUUGGUCAAACAGCAACGCUAGAGCCUUGUCCUUUAGAUCUGCAGCCCUUCAAAGCAUUCCCUUCUUCAUCAGGGUCAGGGUGAGCCCCAUCCCCAGGAUUUGCAAUCAAUGUGCAGAUGGCUCCACCUGCAAAUAGGUCUGGAGCACAAGUUGAGCAUCCCUCAAACAUUUGUUGACUUGAAAGGAAACCCCACCUGUCCUUCCCACUUGCAUACCACUCUGAUUUUGUCUGAGAGCAGAAGCACUGAUGCGUUCUUGAAGAGGUUGCCCUUGUGUUUUUGACCCAGCUGGAAGAAGGAUGAGCCAUAAAUCUCACUGAACAGCCUAAUCUCAUUAUAUUUCCAAGCUCAGUUUCUAGGCCAAAAGGGUUUGGCUAAGCUUCAGAGAAGCAUCUGAACUCUCAGAUGCCGCUCCAAACCAACCUCCUAAAGCUUUCGAUGGUCACACAUGGAUGGGAGGAGUCUCCUCAUGUUGUCACUAGCUGUGUACUGGCAGCUGUGUACUAAUACAUACAGAUGUUCAUCCAUACCUGCUCUGCAUAAAGGUAUUACACAGCACUAUGUGGAAAAGAGACAUUGAGGGGACAGGUCAUAAAAAGGCAUGCAGUGGUUGUUGCUAGAAAAAAAAAGAAGCUGCACAUCACCUCUCCGUGAAUUUGCUGGGGAACUGACAAAUGGACCACCUGCAGAGGCACCCACCAAAUGCCAGCUGGAAAAGACAUGGCCUUGAUGGAUAAUUGCUGGUGUUCCUGAACAAGUCACAAAAUGCCUGUGCAGAAAAAGAAAAUGUUAACAGGAAACGCUGGAUUUGCUCAUAAGAUUGCAAGCUUCUGUCAAAGUGAGAUGGAGACCACCACUGCAGAGCCAGGGCAGGGCUAGCUUUGCAUGUGUCUAUGUGCUGCUGCUCUGGAGAACAAAAAGGAAGCCAGGAGAGCAAGCAAAUUUUGGGUGUGGGAGAAGAACUUUGCUGCUGCAGUAAACAUGAACUAAGCCCAUCCAUCAGCCUGGGAACUGGGGAAGAAGGCUGCAUGGGGGGGAUGGUUCCACUUCUCAGUGCUUCACACUAAUCUACUUUGCUGUUACGGUUCACAUAAGGUUGCAACAGUUCCCUCUUUGCAUGGGACAGACUCCAGUGCUCCUUAGAAAACCCAGUCUACACCGUGUUUGUCAGAGGUUUGCCUUGCACAACUUUGGGAUGCAACAGCAAGGUGAGGGCAAGAAAUUCCCAUUACCAUUGGAGGAAUUCAUCUUCACUCUCUAGGAAAAUGCUAGUCAAGAAGGGUUGUAUCUCUUUGCCUUUACAAGCUGUGCAUGAGCCCACAGCAGCGUUCCUGCAGCCAGCUGGCUUCUCUCCAUGUAUCCAGACCAUGUGGACCAGCAGAGCCUGGGCAUGGGCCAGGCUUCAGUCAUGCACCAGCUACUCCAAGAGGAAGGCCAGCUGGCUUGCUCCAUACCAACACUAGCAGACCACAUGGAACAUGGGCCAGCUAGCACAGCGCCGUUGGCACCAACUCACUCUCUUCAGCAGCUCUGUCUUGGAGAGGACAUCCUCACUGGGACAAAUCAGGCACUGAGACCUCCAGCCCACAGCUCCUGGGCCUGUUCACCACGGGGUUGCCAGUCUCACACACCCAACAGAGAAUUUCAGGUUGAAUGAAGGAUCUGUGUUUUUACUAAUGCUAGAGAGCAGCUCUAAACUUAGCAAAGCUUUUUGGAAGCCAUGUAGGAGAGUAAAGCUGCCUUAAGGACACACCUUGCCUUCCUGUAUGUGCAGUUGUUGUCUCUCAUCCCAUCACCAUCUGGAUAACACCUCUACGCUCCAAGAAAAUCCCUCUCCCAGAAAAUCUCAGCCAUCAGACUUAAAUCUAGCUUAAACAUUAUUAC
ensembl:lncRNA